rnacentral:tRNA from 1 species
GCGCCCGUAGCUCAGCUGGAUAGAGUACUGCCCUCCGAAGGCAGGGGUCGGACGUUCGAAUCGUCUCGGGCACGCCA